GAUGAACGCUAGCUACAGGCUUAACACAUGCAAGUCGAGGGGUAACGAGAGGAAAGCUUGCUUUCCUUGUUGACGACCGGCGCACGGGCGAGUAACGCGUAUCCAACCUGCCCCCAACUAGGGAAUAACCUUGCGAAAGUAAGACUAAUACCCUAUAAUUUCCUCAGAUGUCAUCUGACGAGGAAUAAAGAUUUAUCGGUUGUGGAUGGGGAUGCGUCUGAUUAGCUUGUUGGCGGGGUAACGGCCCACCAAGGCAACGAUCAGUAGGGGUUCUGGGAGGAAGGUCCCCCACAUUGGAACUGAGACACGGUCCAAACUCCUACGGGAGGCAGCAGUGAGGAAUAUUGGUCAAUGGGCGGAAGCCUGAACCAGCCAAGUAGCGUGCAGGAUGACGGCCCUAUGGGUUGUAAACUGCUUUUAUACAGGAAUAAAGUUAGCCACGUGUGGUUAUUUGUAGGUACUGUAUGAAUAAGGACCGGCUAAUUCCGUGCCAGCCGCCGCUGUAA
rnacentral:rRNA from 1 species